rnacentral:rRNA from 1 species
UGGGGAAUUUUGGACAAUGGGCGCAAGCCUGAUCCAGCUAUUCCGCGUGUGGGAUGAAGGCCCUCGGGUUGUAAACCACUUUUGUAGAGAACGAAAAGACACCUUUUAAUCACGGGUGUNGCUGACGGUACUCUAAGACUAAGCACCGGCUACCUACGUGCCCGCAGCCGCGGUAAUACGUAGGGUGCAAGCGUUAAUCGGAAUUACUGGGCGUAAAGGGUGCGCAGGCGGUUGAGUAAGACAGAUGUGAAAUCCCCGAGCUUAACUCGGGAAUGGCAUAUGUGACUGCUCGACUAGAGUGUGUCAGAGGGAGGUGGAAUUCCACGUGUAGCAGUGAAAUGCGUAGAUAUGUGGAAGAACACCGAUGGCGAAGGCAGCCUCCUGGGACAUAACUGACGCUCAGGCACGAAAGCGUGGGGAGCAAACAGG